GCCCUGGUAGCUCAAUUGGCUAGAGCGUGGGACUUUUAAGGACUAUUCUUCAGUACCAGCCACGAAGAUUAGGACUAAGAAAUCCCAAGGUUGCGGGUUCGACCCCCGCCUGGGGCG